rnacentral:tRNA from 1 species
CUUUUUAUUAGUAUAAUCUCAAUUACAAUUACCUUCCAAGUAAGAAAUUUUUUCAGGGAAAUGCUAUUAAUAGGUUAAGGCAA